rnacentral:rRNA from 1 species
AUUGAACGCUGGCGGCAUGCCUUACACAUGCAAGUCGAACGGCAGCACGGGAGCCAUCCUGGUGGCGAGUGGCGAACGGGUGAGUAAUACAUCGGAACGUGCCCAAUCGUGGGGGAUAACGCAGCGAAAGCUGUGCUAAUACCGCAUACGAUCUACGGAUGAAAGCAGGGGAUCGCAAGACCUUGCGCGAAUGGAGCGGC